rnacentral:rRNA from 1 species
AUUCUUGGUCAUUUAGAGGAAGUAAAAGUCGUAACAAGGUCUCCGUAGGUGAACCUGCGGAGGGAUCAUUACACAAAUAUGAAGGCGGGCUGGAACCUCUCGGGGUUACAGCCUUGCUGAAUUAUUCACCCUUGUCUUUUGCGUACUUCUUGUUUCCUUGGUGGGUUCGCCCACCACUAGGACAAACAUAAACCUUUUGUAAUUGCAAUCAGCGUCAGUAACAAAUUAAUAAUUACAACUUUCAACAACGGAUCUCUUGGUUCUGGCAUCGAUGAAGAACGCAGCGAAAUGCGAUAAGUAGUGUGAAUUGCAGAAUUCAGUGAAUCAUCGAAUCUUUGAACGCACAUUGCGCCCUUUGGUAUUCCAAAGGGCAUGCCUGUUCGAGCGUCAUUUGUACCCUCAAGCUUUGCUUGGUGUUGGGCGUCUUGUCUCUAGCUUUGCUGGAGACUCGCCUUAAAGUAAUUGGCAGCCGGCCUACUGGUUUCGGAGCGCAGCACAAGUCGCACUCUCUAUCAGCAAAGGUCUAGCAUCCAUUAAGCCUUUUUUUCAACUUUUGACCUCGGAUCAGGUAGGGAUACCCGCUGAACUCAAGCAUAUCAAUAAGCGGAGGAAAAGAAACCAACAGGGAUUGCCCUAGUAACGGCGAGUGAAGCGGCAACAGCUCAAAUUUGAAUCUGGCUCUUUUAGAGUCCGAGUUGUAAUUUGCAGAGGGCGCUUUGGCUUUGGCAGCGGUCCAAGUUCCUUGGAACAGGACGUCACAGAGGGUGAGAAUCCCGUACGUGGUCGCUGGCUAUUGCCGUGUAAAGCCCCUUCGACGAGUCGAGUUGUUUGGGAAUGCAGCUCUAAAUGGGAGGUACAUUUCUUCUAAAGCUAAAUAUUGGCCAGAGACCGAUAGCGCACAAGUAGAGUGAUCGAAAGAUGAAAAGAAUCUC